rnacentral:snoRNA from 1 species
AGGCCGUGAUGUGGACACUUGCGUAAUAGCUCCUUGAACCUUUCCCAAGUUUCAUAUAAGGAUUCCCCGUCCUCUUGUGAAUAUGUAUUAGUUUUAGUCAUUAAUUU